rnacentral:tRNA from 1 species
GGUCGAUUAGCUCAGCUGGUUAGAGCGUGGUGCUAAUAGUUUCAUACUUGUUAACGCCAAGGUCGUGGGUUCGAUCCCCACAUUGACCU